GCGGCGUCCGCAAAAGUGCGUAGCAGCAAGUGUUCGCGGUCAUCAAGGGAAAUCUGCUUAUGUUUGUCUGUGCGCGCAUUAUAUGAGUGUCGUAGUGGAGGGCUGUGGAUUAAUUUCGACCACUGGUGGUUCAUUAACCGGCAGUCAACAAACGGGACACCGGUUCGCCUGAUCUGUCGCGGCACUGCGCAUCCGCCCCGUCCUAGCAAGCAUGCAGCGCGAAUGGUGCCCGGUGCCGAGUUGCCGGAAACGCGGCCACACAAAG